rnacentral:rRNA from 1 species
UACAGAGGGUGCGAGCGUUGUCCGGAAUCACUGGGCGUAAAGGGCGCGUAGGCGGCCUGAUAAGUCGGGGGUGAAAUCCUGUGGCUCAACCACAGGGCUGCCUCCGAGACUGUCGGGCUAGAGUCCGGAAGAGGCGAGUGGAAUUCCCGGUGUAGCGGUGAAAUGCGUAGAGAUGUGGAGGAACACCGAUGGCGAAGGCAGCCCCCUGGGUCAAGAUUGACGCUCAUGCACGAAAGCGUGGGGAGCAAACAGG